AAAAUGCGAUAAGUAGUGUGAAUUGCAGAAUUCAGUGAAUCAUCGAAUCUUUGAACGCACAUUGCGCCCCUUGGUAUUCCUUGGGGCAUGCCUGUUCGAGCGUCAUUUGACCCCUCAAGCCCAGCUUGGUGAUGGGCGUCUGUCCCCGCCCCCGCGCGAGGACUCGCCCCAAAAUCAUUGGCGGCCGGUACGUUGGCUUCGAGCUCAGCAGAAACGCACCUCGAGCCUAGCGGACCGGCUCCCAGAAGCUUUACCAUCUUGACCUCGGAUCAGGUAGGGAUACCCGCUGGACUUAA
rnacentral:misc_RNA from 1 species